rnacentral:rRNA from 1 species
AUUGAACGCUGGCGGAAUGCUUUACACAUGCAAGUCGAGCGGCAGCGCGGUCUUCGGACUGGCGGCGAGCGGCGAACGGGUGAGUAAUACAUCGGAACAUGCCCAGUCGUGGGGGAUAACACUUCGAAAGAAGUGCUAAUACCGCAUACGUCCUGAGGGAGAAAGCGGGGGAUCGCAAGACCUCGCGCGAUUGGAGUGGCCGAUGUCAGAUUAGCUAGUUGGUGGGGUAAAGGCCUACCAAGGCAACGAUCUGUAGCUGGUCUGAGAGGAUGAUCAGCCACACUGGGACUGAGACACGGCCCAGACUCCUACGGGAGGCAGCAGUGGGGAAUUUUGGACAAUGGGGGCAACCCUGAUCCAGCCAUUCCGCGUGAGUGAAGAAGGCCUUCGGGUUGUAAAGCUCUUUCGGCAGGAACGAAACGGUGAGCUCUAACAUAGCUCGCUAAUGACGGUACCGA